AACUACAUGAACAUAUAAUCUGCCUAUAAAGCUACACGCCAAACAACAUCAUGUGUUUUUCUUCUAGCAGUUAACAACUAAUUUGAUGAAAAGGCACUCUGAUGGGAGGGGAGAUUCACCACUGAUUUAUUUCUGAUGGUGUCAUAUUCAUACAAAGAAGAUGUAAAACGGAGAAGGAUUGAAUACUUGGGAUGGUCGGCGGUAUGCUUGGCUGGUGGUGUGAUGUUGGUUUGGUGGGAGCGGUGCUUCCAUGCCACCAACCGGCAGGAGUGGAUGGUGCCGCUGGGGCUAAUUCUCUUUGUCACGCCUAUCUUAGUUUGCUUCUCUCUCUUCUUCUCCGAUUUCCUAUCAUCGUAACCAUAUCAUAUGUAAUUUUCCAUCUACAGACAUGUAUGCUACAAUAAUUACUCAGAUAGUGAUGAAUAUAUAGUGUAUAUUGUAUAAUUUGAACUCUGGUGCUUCUGCUUCUAUCUAGUUCACACAGAGUUUAUCUCAGAAGCUUUGAGUUAACCACACCAGAUAUAGGUUGUUUUCUCUCUUUUGUUCAUACUGCGUCGGAAAGUAGAGAUUGGAAAAUAGGACUUGUAUUAUACAAACAUGAGCUUUAGUCAUGAUAUUGUAGAAUUAUUAUUUCCAAUA